AUUGAACGCUGGCGGCAUGCUUUACACAUGCAAGUCGAACGGUAACAGGGAGCUUGCUCCGCUGACGAGUGGCGAACGGGUGAGUAAUGCGUCGGAACGUGCCGAGUAGUGGGGGAUAACGCAGCGAAGGUUGUGCUAAUACCGCAUACGUACUGAGGUAGAAAGUGGGGGACCUUCGGGCCUCACGCUAUUCGAGCGGCCGACGUCUGAUUAGCUAGUAGGUGAGGUAAAGGCUCACCUAGGCGACGAUCAGUAGCGGGUCUGAGAGGAUGAUCCGCCACACUGGGACUGAGACACGGCCCAGACUCCUACGGGAGGCAGCAGUGGGGAAUUUUGGACAAUGGGCGAAAGCCUGAUCCAGCCAUGCCGCGUGUCUGAAGAAGGCCUUCGGGUUGUAAAGGACUUUUGUCGGGGAGGAAAUCCCCAGCGCUAAUACCGCUGGGGGAUGACAGUACCUGAAGAAUAAGCACCGGCUAACUACGUGCCAGCAGCCGCCGCGGUAA
rnacentral:rRNA from 1 species